GAUGAAGAACGUAGCGAAAUGCGAUAAGUAAUGUGAAUUGCAGAAUUCAGUGAAUCAUCGAAUCUUUGAACGCACAUUGCGCCCGCCAGUAUUCUGGCGGGCAUGCCUGUUCGAGCGUCAUUACAACCCUCAGGCCCCCGGGCCUGGCGUUGGGGAUCGGCGGAGCCCCCCGUGGGCACACGCCGUCCCCCAAAUGCAGUGGCGGUCCCGCCGCAGCUUCCAUCGCGUAGUAGCUAACACCUCGCGACUGGAGAGCGGCGCGGCCACGCCGUAAAACACCCAACUCUUCUGAAGUUGACCUCGAAUCAGGUAGGAAUACCCGCUGAAAUUAAGCAUAUCAAUAAGCGGAGGA
rnacentral:misc_RNA from 1 species